GGGUUAAGUCCCGCAACGAGCGCAACCCUUAUCCUUUGUUGCCAGCGAUUAGGUCGGGAACUCAAAGGAGACUGCCAGUGAUAAACUGGAGGAAGGUGGGGAUGACGUCAAGUCAUCAUGGCCCUUACGACCAGGGCUACACACGUGCUACAAUGGCGCAUACAAAGAGAAGCGACCUCGCGAGAGCAAGCGGACCUCAUAAAGUGCGUCGUAGUCCGGAUUGGAGUCUGCAACUCGACUCCAUGAAGUCGGAAUCGCUAGUAAUCGUGGAUCAGAAUGCCACGGUGAAUACGUUCCCGGGCCUUGUACACACCGCCCGUCACACCAUGGGAGUGGGUUGCAAAAGAAGUAGGUAGCUUAACCUUCGGGAGGGCGCUUACCACUUUGUGAUUCAUGACUGGGGUGAAGUCGUAACAAGGUAACCGUAGGGGAACCUGCGGUUGGAUCACCUCCUUACCUUAAAGAA
rnacentral:rRNA from 2 species